AAUGAACGCUGGCGGCAGGCCUAACACAUGCAAGUCGAACGCCCCGCAAGGGGAGUGGCGCACGGGUGAGUAACGCGUGGGAAUAUGCCCUUCGGUUCGGAAUAACACAGGGAAACUUGUGCUAAUACCGGAUACGAUCUACGGAUGAAAGAUUCAUCGCCGAAGGAGUAGCCCGCGUAGGAUUAGCUAGUUGGUGAGGUAAUGGCUCACCAAGGCGACGAUCCUUAGCUGGUCUGAGAGGAUGAUCAGCCACACUGGGACUGAGACACGGCCCAGACUCCUACGGGAGGCAGCAGUGGGGAAUAUUGGACAAUGGGCGAAAGCCUGAUCCAGCCAUGCCGCGUGAGUGAUGAAGGCCUUAGGGUUGUAAAGCUCUUUCGCCAGGGAAGAUAAUGACGGUACCUGGAAAAGAAGCCUCGGCUAACUCCGUGCCAGCCGCCGCGGUAACAC
rnacentral:rRNA from 1 species